AAAACACAAAAAUCAAUGUUUAUUUUGUUUAAAAAAAUAUGUGUAUACUACACAUGGCAGGAUAUCCUCCAUCUGAACUAAGUUAAGAUGACCCACUGUUUUGAUUCAGAAUCUUAGCAUAACAGCACAGAUUAAUAACACAUGACACAUCAAAGCCAGGCAAGGAAAUUAAAUCAAUUCACAUGAGCAGAUGGCAGAUAUCCUGUGCCAGGUAUUA